rnacentral:rRNA from 1 species
GAUGAACGCUGGCGGCGUGCUUAACACAUGCAAGUCGAGCGAAGCGAUUUUAAGGAAGCCUUCGGGUGGAAUUAAAAUUGACUUAGCGGCGGACGGGUGAGUAACGCGUGGGUAACCUGCCUCAUACAGGGGGAUAACAGUUAGAAAUGACUGCUAAUACCGCAUAAGCGCACAGUGCUGCAUAGCACAGUGUGAAAAACUCCGGUGGUAUGAGAUGGACCCGCGUCUGAUUAGGUAGUUGGUGAGGUAACGGCCCACCAAGCCGACGAUCAGUAGCCGACCGGAGAGGGUGACCGGCCACAUUGGGACUGAGACACGGCCCAAACUACUACGGGAGGCAGCAGUGGGGAAUAUUGGACAAUGGGGGAAACCCUGAUCCAGCGACGCCGCGUGACUGAAGAAGUAUUUCGGUAUGUAAAGGUCUAUCAGCAGGGAAGAAAAUGACGGUACCUGACUAAGAAGCCCCGGCUAACUACGUGCCAGCCGCCGCGGUAA